UACGUAGGGGGGCAAGCGUUGUCCGGAAUCAUUGGGCGUAAAGAGCGUGUAGGCGGCCAGAUAAGUCCGCUGUGAAAUCUCGAGGCUCAACUUCGAGCUGUCGGUGGAAACUGUCUGGCUAGAGUCCGGAAGAGGAGAAUGGAAUUCCUGGUGUAGCGGUGAAAUGCGCAGAUAUCAGGAAGAACACCCGUGGCGAAGGCGGUUCUCUGGGACGGUACUGACGCUGAGGUGCGAAAGCGUGGGGAGCGAACAGG
rnacentral:rRNA from 1 species